rnacentral:lncRNA from 1 species
AUAGAAUUUUUCUCGGACCAUUUUGUUUAUACUUUAUACAUAUGAUUAAGCCUUCAUUUGGGAUUGCUGAGAGAUUGCGUUACGUGCGGUGAGAAACAACGACUGUUUGUUUCCGUACGUAAUAUUACGUUCCGCAUAUUGGGGUUAGUCGGUUAUGAUAUAUUUUCUGCGGUCCCAUCGGAGAACGCAGAAGCAUAUUCUUAUAUGUUUGUUCUCAACUCUAUUUUUUCUAAUAGCUUUAAGCCUAAAUUGAGUAUUUUAAAGGGCAAAACUUCGGUAGGUAGAAGCCCCCCAAGGAUGCCUCAUCGGAGAGUUCCGAUCCACUGUCACGUAUUAGUUUUGCCUCUAUUUAAAAAUUCGUUGAAUUUUUUUUUUUAUAAUAUUAGAAUCCAAAAGGAAGAAUUAUAACGCGUGAAUAAAGGCAAAACUAAUAUAUGACAGUGGAUCAGGGGCUUCUCAAUGAAACGUAAUUGCAGAGCUCUCCUAUGAAGUUUUACUUAAAAAGUUUUGGGGCAGCCCUCCAAUUAAAACCAUAUUUUUUUCAACAUAAAUUUGAAAAAAUAAUAAAAAAAGGGACUUUUCUAUAUAUUUAUAUUGCAUCUAUAUCUAAAAAAAUAGUUCAUAGUUUUAUGUAUACCCUUCAAAGUUACCAUUUAACUAAAGUUGUAGCAGCACAUACGCAAAAUUCUGUCUGCAAAUAUAGGCUAUUUAAAAGAAUAAAACAAAAAACAUAUCUUCGAUCUCGUCGCUGCAAUCAUAAUCGCCACAUUUGUACCAUUUUACUAUUCCAUCACAAGAUUGCAGUGCAUUAAAGCAUUCCCUCCGCUAUCUCUGAUCGCUAUCGCCAUUACUAUGCCCUCAGAAUAAACCAAGUGAUAAGAAACAAGAUCAAUUAUCUU